UGGCUGAGUGGUGCCGUCAGAUCCAGGAAAUGAAUAACACACAGGACAGAUGAAAUGAAAUGAUGAAGACGCUUGUUUGUGCCGGUUUAUUAUAAAUAAAAAGGUUUUAACAAAACACAGGACACGGCACUUGGGACGAACAAACACGAAAACCCAAAACAAAACGAUCAAAGAGAUUUCUUCAAGGUAGAGAACCCAAACAACGAAAAUAUAAAAAAAUGCGAUGCUUAUUAAAGGCGGGAAUGCAAACCAGACUGUAACCCAGGCACUGAAAGACACAUUUUUUCUGUGGGCUUACAGUACUGUGUGUCCGCUUGGCUGGCCUUGAACGUGUUCUGCAUAUCACAGCGCUGGAAGGGAAGAUCUAUUUUAGAAGCUACAAGAGUUAUGCCCUUCCUAGCCAAAGAAGAAGGUGGUUUCCCACAAUGUCUUUGGCAUGAAGUAUGGCUGUCUCCACAUGCAGAAGCAGGAUCUGGCCAAACUGCAGACCUGCAAAAUGAAGGGGCUGAAAAAGAGGAAAUGAGAAAAAACAGAGGGAGGGGAAGCGGAAGGAGAGGGAGGGGAAGCGGAAACAACCACUGCAAAGAAGGCAAAGACUCUGAUUGAAAUGCUCACUGCAGCCCUGGACGAUGGUUUUGUCGUUUGCGUGCUGCAUAGAGCAGGGGACCAAAUUACUGCUUUUCUUGUAGCUAUUUCAGAAAUGUUCACAAUCUUUCAGUGUGCCACUUUUUAAAAUAUAAUUUCUAUGUGGUACUAAAACAUCUGACAUCUACACAGUGGGUUGGGGCUGCUACAUUGCAGGCAAUUGCUUAAUGAAAAAGAAAAAAAAAAGUUUUUGUGUUUUACAUGUAACCCAAUCACUUAUGGCAAGUAUGUACCUUGUUAUGAAUGUAAAGUCUGUAUACAUGCAUCAGUGUUAAAAGUAUUCCACAACUGGUAGUACUUUUCUUUGUGUAGUCAGCAUUUUUGUAUUCUUUCUUUUACACAAUUGUUGCCUGUAAAACGUACAUUUGAAACUGAUAUGUUUGCAUUUCUCCAGGUUCUGCUAGUAAAAUCAUUUAAAGUAAACCUGGGCCUGCAUCAGGUUUUAAUCCCCACGUGCUGGAAAAAGGGCUCUCUGUGUUGCUGUACACACUAGUGCUUAAGCAGCUUAACAACAGUAGGUGGUGCAAGAAGUUCAAAGACAUGUAAACAUGAAAACAGGAGAAAAGGUUGGAAUGCAUUCAUACUGUAAAUGUACAUACACGCUUUACUUCGAAAUCUUUUAAAUUCUUCAGCAAAGCGACGAGCAACUGCUCAAGAAGUUUGAAAGCCAAAGCGAACUAAUGUAACUCGGGAAAUGACAUAUUCAAAGAACUACUGCAUUGAACAAGUAGACUACAUUUCAGAAUUCCUUAUUUUGUAUUUGUGGAAGAUAUUAUUACAUAAUAGUAGUUGUAUUAUUAUUAGUAGUAGUAGUAUAAGUAAAGUUUCUUACUAUGUUUUUAGG